GAUGAACGCUAGCGGCAGGCUUAAUACAUGCAAGUCGAGGGGUAACAUGGUAGCAAUACUGAUGACGACCGGCAAACGGGUGCGGAACACGUACAGAACCUUCCUUUAAGCGGGGGAUAGCCCAUAGAAAUGUGGAUUAAUACCCCAUAGUAAUAUUGACUGGCAUCAGUUGGUAUUUAAAGAUUUAUCACUUAAAGAUGGCUGUGCGGCUGAUUAGGUAGUUGGUGCGGGAACGGCCCACCAAGCCAGCGAUCAGUAACUGGUGUGAGAGCACGACCAGUCACACGGGCACUGAGACACGGGCCCACUCCUACGGGAGGCAGCAGUAAGGAAUAUUGGUCAAUGGACGCAAGUCUGAACCAGCCAUGCCGCGUGAAGGAUGAAGG
rnacentral:rRNA from 1 species